rnacentral:rRNA from 1 species
AUGCAGGCAUCGAUGCCCUUCUCCGGCGACCUGACAGAGCGCAACCGCCAGUUGCUGCUAGAGCAGCAGAAUUCCUCUGCCAUAAAGAUCCAGAGAUGCUUUAGAGGGAAGAAGGCUAUACAAUCAAAACGUUCUGAAGCUCGAGAAAACUUCUGCUCUACUUUUGAAGGUUUCUUCCAGAAUUUAGAUAGGAAAAGCUAUGUUGCUUCGGAUUUUUUGGGUCAAUUCCUGUUAUUUUUUGAUGCAAAGGAGGACAAAGAUAUUGAUAUACUAUGUCAAGUCUGUGACCUGCUUCUACAAUAUGCCAAACGUGAUGGUAAGUAUGAUGCUAAGAAUAACAUUCUUGUGAUGUUUUAG